CCUACGGGAGGCUGCAGUAGGGAAUAUUGCUCAAUGGGGCAAACCCUGAAGCAGCAACGCCGCGUGGAGGAUGAAGGUUUUCGGAUUGUAAACUCCUUUUGUUAGAGAAGAUAAUGACGGUAUCUAACGAAUAAGCACCGGCUAACUCCGUGCCAGCAGCCGCGGUAAUACGGAGGGUGCAAGCGUUACUCGGAAUCACUGGGCGGAAAGAGCGCGUAGGCGGGAUAGCAAGUCAGAUGUGAAAUCCUAUGGCUUAACCAUAGAACUGCAUUUGAAACUGUUAUUCUAGAGUAUGGGAGAGGUAGGUGGAAUUCUUGGUGUAGGGGUAAAAUCCGUAGAGAUCAAGAGGAAUACUCAUUGCGAAGGCGACCUGCUAGAACAUAACUGACGCUGAUGCGCGAAAGCGUGGGGAGCAAACAGGAUUAGAUACCCCUGUAGUC
rnacentral:rRNA from 1 species